UCUUUGAAGACAGAGGAGAAGAAGCUUGAAGAAAAGAUCACAAAAUUAGAAAAUAAGGAAAUGGGUUGUGACUUCCCACUGUGCUCUGGGUUGAUA